GACGAACGCUGGCGGCGUGCUUAACACAUGCAAGUCGAACGGAAAGGCCUGCUUUCCCUUGUGGAUUGCGGGUACUCGAGUGGCGAACGGGUGAGUAACACGUGAGUGAUCUGCCCCCAACUUGGGUAUAAGCCUGGGAAACUGGGUCUAAUUCCCGAUAGUACUGCAGGGUGGUGCCUGUGGUGGAAAACGAUUUUCUAGUGGUUGGGGAUGAGCUCGCGGCCUAUCAGCUUGUUGGUGGGGUAAUGGCCUACCAAGGCGGCGACGGGUAGCCGGACUGAGAGGGUGGACGGCGACAUUGGGACUGAGAUACGGCCCAGACUCCUACGGGAGGCAGCAGUGGGGAAUAUUGCAGCAUGGGCGGAAGCCUGAUGCAGCGACGCCGCGUGGGGGAUGACGGCCUUCGGGUUGUAAACUCCUUUCGACCGCGAGGAAGCCACCUGGUUGGAAGGGUGGUGACGGUAGUGGUAGAAGAAGCACCGGCUAACUACGUG
rnacentral:rRNA from 1 species